rnacentral:rRNA from 1 species
UACGUAGGGGCCUAGCGUUGUCCGGAUUUAUUGGGCGUAAAGAGCUCGUAGGCGGCACGGUAAGUCAGGUGUGAAAUCUCCACGCUCAACGUGGAGGGGUCACCUGAUACUGCCGAGCUUGAGUCCGGUAGGGGAGUGUGGAAUUCCCGGUGUAGCGGUGAAAUGCGUAGAUAUCUGGAGGAACACCGGUGGCGAAGGCGGCAUCCUGGACCGAUACUGACGCUGAGGAGCGAAAGCCAGGGGAGCAAACGGG